UCCGUUGUCGUCUAGCGGUCAGGGUAUCUGGCUUUCACCCAGGAGACCCGGGUUCAAUUACCGGCAACGCAG
rnacentral:tRNA from 1 species